rnacentral:rRNA from 1 species
AUUGAACGCUGGCGGCAGGCCUAGCACAUGCAAGUCGAGCGGAUGAAGGGAGCUUGCUCCUGGAUUCAGCGGCGGACGGGUGAGUAAUGCCUAGGAAUCUGCCUGGUAGUGGGGGAUAACGUCCGGAAACGGGCGCUAAUACCGCAUACGUCCUGAGGGAGAAAGUGGGGGAUCUUCGGACCUCACGCUAUCAGAUGAGCCUAGGUCGGAUUAGCUAGUUGGUGGGGUAAAGGCCUACCAAGGCGACGAUCCGUAACUGGUCUGAGAGGAUGAUCAGUCACACUGGAACUGGGACACGGUCCAGACUCCUACGGGAGGCAGCAGUGGGGAAUAUUGGACAAUGGGCGAAAGCCUGAUCCAGCCAUGCCGCGUGUGUGAAGAAGGUCUUCGGAUUGUAAAGCACUUUAAGUUGGGAGGAAGGGCAGUAAGUUAAUACCUUGCUGUUUUGACGGUACCAACAGAAUAAGCACCGGCUAACUUCGUG